rnacentral:rRNA from 1 species
CGGUAAUAAAAUACUGGGCAUUGUCUUGUAAUUGGAAUGAUGGUGAUGUAAAAUCUCACCAGAGUAACAAUUGGAGGGCAAGUCUGGUGCCAGCAGCCGCGGUAAUUCCAGCUCCAAUAGCGUAUAUUAAACUUGUUGCAGUUAAAAAGCUCGUAGUUGAAUUUCUGCGUUGCCCGACUCGGCUACUUGCCUUGUCUGGUUUCGCUUUUGGGGUUUUCCCCUUUUUACUUUGAGAAAAUUAGAGUGUUUCAAGCAGACUUGUGUCUUGAAUACUUCAGCAUGGAAUAAUAAAGUAGGACUUUGGUUCUAUUUUGUUGGUUUGUGAACCUUAGUAAUGGUUAAUAGGAACGGUUGGGGGCAUUCGUAUUUAAA